rnacentral:rRNA from 1 species
GUACACGGUGGAUGCCCUGGCAGUCAGAGGCGAUGAAGGACGUGCUAAUCUGCGAUAAGCGCCGGUAAGGUGAUAUGAACCGUUAUAACCGGCGAUUUCCGAAUGGGGAAACCCAGUGUGAUUCGUCACACUAUCAUUAACUGAAUCCAUAGGUUAAUGAGGCGAACCGGGGGAACUGAAACAUCUAAGUACCCCGAGGAAAAGAAAUCAACCGAGAUUCCCCCAGUAGCGGCGAGCGAACGGGGAGGAGCCCAGAGCCUGAAUCAGCAUGUGUGUUAGUGGAAGCGUCUGGAAAGGCGCGCGAUACAGGGUGACAGCCCCGUACACAAAAGCGCAUGUGCUGUGAGCUCGAUGAGUAGGGCGGGACACGUGGUAUCCUGUCUGAAUAUGGGGGGACCAUCCUCCAAGGCUAAAUACUCCUGACUGACCGAUAGUGAACCAGUACCGUGAGGGAAAGGCGAAAAGAACCCCGGCGAGGGGAGUGAAAAAGAACCUGAAACCGUGU